AUUUACUGGAAGAACCAGAUCUCGCGCCCUGCAGGCUUCUGUACACUCUGGCCCUUUGAUCCCUUAACCAGCACCUCUGUCUGCUACUGACUCCGGACUUCCUGUUAAGUUAGUCUCGCCUUCUAAUCUUCCUCCACCCUUUCAGUUGUGUACAGCCUAUGAUAUUCCUGAGCCCUGUCUGAAAACACAACGAACGGGUCCAGCACCUCAGUGCCCCAAGAUGUCUGCUAGAUAUCUUGGCGGAAACACAUCUCAACUCCUUGGCGAUGGCCCAGUGUCUCCUGCCGCCACACACUUUCCUACACUCAAACUGUCACAUAAAAGAACACACAACACAAUAAUCUUUGACCCAAAUGAUAAGAUAUAAUUACCCACCUAAACAUACAAAGCCCAGUACCAUCCAUCCCUUAAGAACAUUAAUAACAACCUGUAAACACACAGAGCGGAAUCUUAACAUCACCUACCAUAUUAUCCUUCCACGGCUUCUCUCCCUCUCCCUCCUGUCUCCCCUCCUUUCCGUUCCAGUCUCCUCCUCUUCCUUCAAACUUCUCUCCCACCCAUCUUCCUUCUCCUCCAAUGACAGGCCUCCUUCUAUCCUGUACCUGCCCCUCACCUGUAAGUUGCAAAUUCAAUGGGAAGAAGGUUCUGGUGAAGUCACCUGAGUCCUGAGUAAGUGAUUAGGCAGCUGUCCUUAGGGCAGUGGAAUUAGCAUCAAAAUAUAGAUAACUCCAGGGCAAACCACAACAGGGAGACUUUUAAUUACUGCUUCUAUUUCUUUAGGAGUUAUGGGACUGUUUAGAUGACUUAUCUAAUCCUGAUUUAACUUUGGUUCCUUCUAUCUCUCUAGAAAAUUGUUUCAUCCAGAUAUUCCAGUUUUGUUGAAUAUAGGCUUUUGAACUAGGAUUUGAUGAUUUUUUUAAUUUCCUCAGAUUCUGUUGUUAUCUCUCCCUUUUCAUUUCUGAUUUUGUUAAUUUGGAUACACUCUCUGUGCCUUCUGGUUAGACUGGCUAAGGGUUUGUCUAUUUUGUUGAUUUUCUCAAAGAACAAACUCCUAGUUUUGUUGACUCUUUGAAUAGUUCCUUUUGUUUCUACUUGGUUGAUUUCAGCCCUGAGUUUGAUUAUUUCCUGCUAUCUACUCCUCUUGGCUAUAUUUGCUUCUUUUUGUUCUAGAGCUUUUAGGUGUGCUG
rnacentral:lncRNA from 1 species